GGUUCAAGUCAAGGAGCGGAAGAGUGGGUGGUUUAUCAUCGAAAAGGAGUAAUUGGGGCUUGGCCUUACAUUUGUGAUCCCAAGUAUACUUCUCAUCGCAAUGGUAACAAAGACCUUGGGAUCAACGAUAGGCGGCCUCGGCUGGAGAAAGGCAAUGAAAAGGAAUCUUAGUGCCCGUCGAAAGGGUAGUUGGACGUCAUAGGCUAUGGUUGUAGUGUAGGUUAUGAACCAGAAGGGGAACGUGGGUUGGCCAGGAGAGGUUUGCUAUUCCCCAAGGUUGUCUUCAUGGACCCUCUCUCGAUAGCGAGCUGUUGUUCAUGAAUUUCGGCCAACCCAAUUGUGUCUUCAAGCUGAGUUGGUUUGUGGACCAAAACAACUGCCUUGAUAUCAAAUCGAAGACCUGAG
rnacentral:lncRNA from 1 species